GCAUCUGGACAUGUGUUUCUCCUUUACUGGACCACCUCCAAGUAGCUCUUGUCUCAUUUCUAUUGGAUGCUUUGGUGGCUGGCCACAAAGCUUGGUUUUAUUGGCCAAAUUUGUGGCAAAGACACGAAGCUAUCUCCUAUUGGUUGGUUUGGGAGGCAGAGACACCUCAUGCUUGCCAUGCACGAUCAAAACCCUUACAUGAGCUCAUUCUCCAACCUAUAAAUAGCAGACCACUCCCUUAGUUUAUUCUCCACUUUUAAAACCCAACCAUAGGCACCCGAGAGAACCCGAGAACACCCGAGCUUUAAGCCGACCGCGAGAUAGGAGCGUUUGCAGUCUGAAACUUUCUUCUAAGUGUCGAGGUCGCGAGGACACAUGUGAUAGGGCUAGCUACCCUCAACCGUGUAGCUGCAUGACGAUGCGGCAAGUGUGUUAUCCGGGCCAUCGGAUUUUUAGACUUUGUGUUUAGAGUCAAUGGGCACAAGAAGGGAUGUAUUAUGGACUUCAUAUCGAGAUAGGAACCAAUGGCGAGAGGCAGUCCUCGACGAUCGGUAACCCGUAGUAGGUUCCAUUUGGGAUCGGAGGAGCACAAAGUUGUUGGUGUAUAUUUGCUACCUUUUGCAAACAUGUACGUUUUGUAAUAUGUAAGAUAUGGUUUUGAACAUCGGCCGAGCAUGUAUAAAGUUUUGAUGUGGUUGAACUUAAAUGAUAUAUGAAUAAGAAAAGGUUUGUGAAAUGCUUGGAUUCCAUAUGAUACUAGUCUUAGUCUGGGACGAACAAACUAACAGUUUCAAACUCGGGUUGCAAAGCCUUAACUUGGAAUCGAUUGGACAUAUGAUCUUGGGAUUUCGGAUCUGAUAUGGGAACCUCGGGUCAAAUGUUUGGGCACGUGGUAGUAAUAUCUUCGAUCUGGUUAGAGUUCUUUAGUUCGUCGUGCAUGUUCUUGUUUGAUUGGUGCAUGGCAAACUAAUUAACUUUUACUUAUUCCGGAUCGGGGGUGCUACAUGCGGACUCCGUGGGGAAUCAAAUGCAUGUGUGACUUUCAGGUUUAGUAAGAGUAGUGCUUUAGCCGCUACGCUGAGGAGAAUCAUCUAUUAUAAUCAAACAAAUAAAUUUAUUUAAACCUAAAUUAUAUAUUAUAAAGUUGGAAAGCAUUUGGAAAUUUCUGGAUGGGUUUCCAGAAAUAAUAUAUUAGUGUGUUUCUAUCUAGCAAAGUUUAAAUUAGAAAUGAAAUGGUAUCAAAAAUUAAGGAUUUGAUAUCUACAUUUUUGGUAAGUUUCAAAUUGUGAUGUACAUAAUUGAUCCAACAUAGCAUUGUUGCACCAAAUAACAAACUGUGACAUUUAUUUUGUAGAUCCUGUAAAUAAAAACUGACAUUAGCGGUUAGCAAAAGACACAUAAAAGCACCUUCUAUCUCUGCAAUUUCAGCUUUGACCAAGUUCUCGUUGUACCAUUCUCCAAUAUAUGUGUAUCCAAAAUCAUCCUCCUUUGAAACAUUGCAAGUAAAAUGUUUCGUAUAUUCUACAAAUAGUUUGUUUUUCAAUGUAAGUCUUUUGCAUAUGUCUUCUUUUUACAUGUAACAACUAAAAAUUCCACAUUUGAAGUUGUUGGUAAGAUAAUUGAUCCAACUUAGCAUUGUUGCACCAAAUAACAAACUCUGGCAUUUAUUUUGUAGAUCCUUUAAAUAAAAACUGACAUUAGUGGUUAGCAAAAGACACAUAAAAGCACCUUCUAUCUCUGCAAUUUCAGCUUUGACCAAUCUCUUAUUGUAUCAUUCUCUAAUAUAUGUAUCCAAAAUCAUCCUCCUCAAAAACAUUGCAAGUAAAAUGUUUCGUAUAUUCUACAAAUAGGUUUUUUUUCUAGUGUAAGCCUUUUGCAUAUGUCUUCUUCUUAUGUGUAAUAGCUAAAAAUUCCAUGUGACAUCUACAGCUGAGUUUCACAUAAGAGUUGAAAACCUGACUUUUGGGAAGCAAAUUCAAUAAAAUAGCUCUUUGUUACUUAAUUUCUAUAAUUUAGGAGCCAACAUUUGUUUCUUCUUCUCAUGCACUUUGUGUCUUCUUAAAAACAUUAUGUCAAACACUUUGUAUGCAAUAUUCUUUGAUUCAACACCUGUCAAAACAAGAGGUCCUUCCUCCAUAGCUAAUCAGUCUUCAUGAUGAAUCACAACAUCAAUUUCAGGAUCAAUAGAUUUCAUUUCUCCAUAGAUAAACAUUACGUUAAUUCGUAAACAACAUAACAAUCUAAUUGAAAACCUUCCAAAAUGGUAUGAAAAGAUUUUUUUUGGUAAAGAGUAACCAACCAAAGAGGACGAUGGAUAUGAUAUACCUUAAUGACGACAAGUAUAAGAUACAACAAAACUGAGAGAGAUCGUCGACGCCUGAGCUGGGAGAGAUCGUCGAUGGCAGAUCGUCGACGGCGGAAUUGAGGGAGAUCGUCGAAAGAGCCGGGAGAGACCGUUGUAACUGACUUUUGAUGGAGUUGAAAGAGACUGUCACAAAGCUAUUGAAUGACGAUGUCAGAGCUGAUAGACGAUGACGACGGAUCUAGGGGACGACGAAAAAGAGUGACACCGGAACUGAUGACGGUGAGAUGAAGGAGGUGAAGACGACGACGGUGGUUGAUCGCCAGUUCAUUUUUUUUUUAUAAUUGGAGAAUUAAUGAAAAGGAUAAAAAAAUAAUUCGUCAUUUCAAAUGAAACAUUUUUGUGACAUUGGGCCUUGGAGUCUAGAUUGGGAAGAAAAAUUGAUAUAAAGCUAUCUAAUGUCAUUUCUCAAUAAAUAUUCUAAAUCUUGAAUAUUUUAUUAUCGAUUUAUUAUUGACUUUUCGAGGAAUAAAGAUUAUGCACAAAAAUCCAUAUAAAUCAACUAUCUUUCUUAAAGUUGAUAAACUACU